GGGAAGACAACUAGGCUUGUGAAAUCUCAUGCCUGACAGGACAAUUUUGCAUGACACUUCUGACCUGCAUGUCAAGAGAAAACGCAAGAUUGAAGAAGCCCAGAUCGCAAGGGAAGUUGAAGUUAAUGAAAACUGAAUUCGCAAAGCACUAGAGAAAGAAAAUAUUUUGAGGAGAAAGGCUGAGGAACGAAUGAGGAAAGAGAUGGAAAGAUUUGAUCGUGAAAGAAGGAAGGAAGAAGAAAGGUUGAUGCGUGAACAGCAGAGAGAGGAGGAGAGAUUGCUACAUGAGCAAAGGCGAGAAUCAGAGUGACGGGAGAAGUAUUUACAGAAAGAAUCUAUUAAGGCGGAGAAAAAGAGACAAAAGAAGAGCUUCGUCGAGAAAAAGAAGCAGAGAGAC